rnacentral:tRNA from 1 species
GCCUGAGUGGCUCAGUCGGUUGAGCAUCCGACUUCCACUCGGGUCAUAAUCUUGCGGUUUGUGAGUUCGAGCCCCGUGCCAGGCU